GAUGAACGCUGGCGGCGUGCCUAAUACAUGCAAGUCGAGCGAACAGACGAGGAGCUUGCUCCUCUGACGUUAGCGGCGGACGGGUGAGUAACACGUGGAUAACCUACCUAUAAGACUGGGAUAACUUCGGGAAACCGGAGCUAAUACCGGAUAAUAUAUUGAACCGCAUGGUUCAAUAGUGAAAGACGGUUUUGCUGCCACUUAUAGAUGGAUCCGCGCCGCAUUAGCUAGUUGGUAAGGUAACGGCUUACCAAGGCGACGAUGCGUAGCCGACCUGAGAGGGUGAUCGGCCAGACUGGAACGGAGACACGGUCCAGACUCCUACGGGAGGCAGCAGUAGGGAAUCUUCCUCAAUGGGCGAAAGCCUGACGGAGCAACGCCGCGUGAGUGAUGAAGGUCUUCGGAUCGUAAAACUCUGUUAUUAGGGAAGAACAAAUGUGUAAGUAACUAUGCACGUCUUGACGGUACCUAAUCAGAAAGCCACGGCUAACUACGUG
rnacentral:rRNA from 1 species